rnacentral:ncRNA from 1 species
UCCAUCGCGAGGUGGAAUCUGAAGGAAGCCGAAGGCAAAUCUCCGACCCGAGGAACACGAAUCUCAUAGGAGGCUAAUCUUCUUGGAUGAGGCUGCGAAACAAGCCGAAGCCCGAACGACCAAAGAGAAGGUUAGUAAAUGAGGCGGGUAUAUGGAGAGGAAGGUUGUGCGU